rnacentral:rRNA from 1 species
AUUAAACCGCNUGGCGGCAUGCUUAACACAUGCAAGUCGAACGGUAACAGGCCUUCGGGCGCUGACGAGUGGCGGACGGGUGAGUAACGCGUAGGAAUCUGCCUGGUAGUGGGGGAUAACCCGGGGAAACUCGGGCUAAUACCGCAUACGCCCCAAGGGGGAAAGCGGGGGAUCUUCGGACCUCGUGCUAUCAGAUGAGCCUGCGUCCGAUUAGCUAGUUGGUGGGGUAAUGGCCCACCAAGGCGACGAUCGGUAGCNUGGUCUGAGAGGAUGAUCAGCCACACUGGGACUGAGACACGGCCCAGACUCCUACGGGAGGCAGCAGUGGGGAAUAUUGGACAAUGGGCGCAAGCCUGAUCCAGCAAUGCCGCGUGUGUGAAGAAGGCCUGCGGGUUGUAAAGCACUUUCAGUGGGGAGGAAAAGCGGGCGCUUAAUACGUGCUUGUCUUGACGUUACCCACAGAAGAAGCACCGGCUAACUCCGUGCCAGCAGCCGGGGUAAUA